rnacentral:rRNA from 1 species
UACAGAGGUCCCAAGCGUUGUUCGGAUUCAUUGGGCGUAAAGGGUGCGUAGGCGGCGCGGUAAGUCGGGUGUGAAAUCUCGGGGCUUAACUCCGAAACUGCAUUCGAUACUGCCGUGCUUGAGGACUGGAGAGGAGACUGGAAUUUACGGUGUAGCGGUGAAAUUCGUAGAUAUCAAGCGGAACACCGGUGGCGAAGGCGGCCUUCUGGACAGUGACUGACGCUGAGACGCGAAAGCGUGGGGAGCAAACAGG